CUUCCAUCCCGACAGCAGCCGACCCUCUCCCAUCGGAGAAUCAUUAAGCGUGCAUCUAAAAUGAGGGCCAGGGGAGAGCUUUAUCCACACAAAUACAGCCAUGAGAAAGAGGCUUGGCUCUCAUCUCAUCGGAUAGAGUUACACCGGAAUUUCUAAUGCUUUUAAGCCUAUCCCAGAGAUCAUAGCAGCGUGGACGUUCCGGGAAACACUGGGUGGGGGGGCAGCCACUGGCGAAGCAGAUAAGGGACCGUCUAAAGACGCAGACCCUCCAGAGUAAGAGAUAACAUCCAGACAGUCACAGCAAAGACCUGCCACAUAAUACACAACCCCUUUCAAUCUCCCCCCAUCUCGGGCCCUCUCGACCUCCUGUCAUCACCAGCUUUCACGCUCCUGCCGGAGAAAGCCACCGACUGGUGUACGGUUAUCCUCGGCUCUGUCCGAUUCUCGGAAGGCCAAGUUCACCUUUAGCGAUGAGGAGAUGAUAAGCAUUGAUAGUCGGGGAUGGGAAUCGAUCAGCUUCCACUGUUGACAUACCUCCGUGUGUAACCUGUAAUCUCGCGGAGGCAGAAACCUCUCCGAAGGCGUUCCUGGCGGUGCACGUGUACACACCUGCAUCACUCGGACCGACUGCUUGGAUCUGGAGCCAGCCGG